CCUACGGGCGGCUGCAGUGGGGAAUAUUGGACAAUGGGCGAAAGCCUGAUCCAGCCAUGCCGCGUGUGUGAAGAAGGCCUUCGGGUUGUAAAGCACUUUCAGUGGGGAAGAAAGCCUUGGGGCUAAUACCCUCGAGGAAGGACAUCACCCACAGAAGAAGCACCGGCUAACUCCGUGCCAGCAGCCGCGGUAAUACGGAGGGUGCGAGCGUUAAUCGGAAUUACUGGGCGUAAAGCGCGCGUAGGCGGUCUGAUAAGCCGGUUGUGAAAGCCCCGGGCUCAACCUGGGAACGGCAUCCGGAACUGUCAGGCUAGAGUGCAGGAGAGGAAGGUAGAAUUCCCGGUGUAGAGGUGAAAUGCGUAGAGAUCGGGAGGAAUACCAGUGGCGAAGGCGGCCUUCUGGACUGACACUGACGCUGAGGUGCGAAAGCGUGGGUAGCAAACAGGAUAGAUACCCUGGUAGUC
rnacentral:rRNA from 1 species